AUAUCGCCUGUUCCAAAGCGAUGCUGGACGAGGAUUUGCAUUUCAAGGAGCUGUCUCAUUUUCCCGAGCCUUAGAGCCAAGCCGAUUCCAUCGAGUUUCUCUUCCGCCGCUUGUGGUGGCUCCUGGCAGUGAGGUAGGUCAGUGGCUUGCUGGGAAGGGCUCGAUCACAGUUCCAGCAGCUGGUUUUCCUCCGGGAAUCAAUAGCUCUGUGAGAGCUCGGAUCUGUGAAUCAGCAACAUUGGGCAGCAUCAGUGUGCUAGUGCCAGCGAGUCUAUCUUCCAGCAACGAUUCUUCAUCCGGGAAGCAGUAGCCUUGUAGAAACAUUGGUUGUGCAUCUGAGGUAGUGAGCAGCACCAUUGUACUUGUGCCGACGAUUCCACCUACCGGCAGUGAGUCAACAUCGGGGAGUUAGGACUUUGAUCAGGACGAGCGUCGUGACGAGAUUGGCGUCGGAUUCAGCCUACAUUUGAGG